UGGGGAAUUUUCCGCAAUGGGCGAAAGCCUGACGGAGCAAUCUCGCGUGAGGGAUGACGGCCCAUGGGUUGUAAACCUCUUUUUUCAGGGAGGAAUAAAUGACGUGUACCUGAAGAAUAAGCAUCGGCUAACU
rnacentral:rRNA from 1 species